UGAAGGAGAGAAAAGAUGGCUGAGCCAUUAUGAAACAUGACCAGAGCUAGCUUGGAGUUAUUAUUCCUCAGCUCAUCUUUUGCUCAUGUAGGAAGAUUCCGCAGAAGCCAAUAAUUGUUUCAGAACUGCCAUCUAACAGCUACACUGGAAUGACAAUUGUGAAGUGGAUGAGUUAUGCUAACCCUGACGCGAUCUGACAUGAAGUAAAUGAACUUUCUCUGCCACAUCCUCCUGCCGUGAUGUACUGUGUUGCUGCAAGUCCCAAAGCAACAGGGC